rnacentral:lncRNA from 1 species
AAAUAAAAAAAUGAAGCAAUUUGAGCAACAUGAAAGGAUGAGUAGUAACCCUAAGGGUGCGUUUGGUUCGAGUUAUCCUAGCAGGAUUACAGGCAAUCCUGCCAGGAUAAUUGUGUUUGGUUAAUCCGCUAUGUAAUCUAGUCGUUAAUGUAGCAUUACAAAUCGAGCAGGAUUACAUCGAAAAUAUUAACGGGAGGGGGGUCGUGUAUCUUGCAUUACUGAAACCCGUUAAUAAUACAUAUUAUGUAAAAUGACAAUUUUACCCUCCAACAACCCCAAAUCUAAUUAACAGCAUUAUUUUUAUCUCUCUCUCUCUCCUUCCUCCCUCUCUUUCGCACGCCGCUUUCUCUCGCUCUCUCUCUCUCUCUCUCUCUCUCUCUCUCUCUCUCUCUCUCUCUCUCUCGCACGAACACCUAUCAUCUUCUAUUGCGUCGUCCUCCCAAGUAAUCAUCACAAUCUCCUUCCCUCCGUUCGUCAUUUUCGCAAAAAAUAAUAUUCAAAUGACCACAACAAGGGCAAUUUUGAAAAAAAUUAUACUUUUAUGUCAGGAUUAUUAAAUUUUAUAAACUGAACCAAACGUAUUAAUGCUAUAAACACUGUAAUCUAGUAUUACAUUACUGUAUUAAACCAAACGCGCUAAUGCAGCAUCAGUAGUAAUCUCACGCCGAAAUCCAAGAUACCUGGAUAUGUCAGGAUUAUUAAAUUUUAUAAACUGAACCAAACGUAUUAAUGCUAUAAACACUGUAAUCUAGUAUUACAUUACUGUAUUAAACCAAACGCGCUAAUGCAGCAUCAGUAGUAAUCUCACGCCGAAAUCCAAGAUACCUGGAUAUGUUAAGAUACUUUGUAAUAUUACAUAACUCGAACCAAACGGGCCCUAAAGAAUACUUUUAAAAACUGCUAUCAAACUAUAUAAACGUACUGAACUACAAAUAUUCAAAAUAUUUAGUCACUAACUAU